AGCUAAAAAUAUUGGAAAUUAAGGGUUAAAAAUUAUAAAAUUAAAGUAAAAAAUUAAAUUAAAAAACAAAGUUCAGCACUAAGACAUUUUUUUGGCCGCGUAUUCCCAUGCUGGCGGUAGCUGUCUGGAGUCAUUAUUGUUGAUAACAAUCGUACUUUUUCUCCUCUUCUCAAUUUCGAGGGACUCUCGUAACAAGAUUUGUUCGCUGUUGUCGGUUCUUCUGGUCAUUCUUGCGCUGUCCCAUGCGAUAUCUGUGUCUGCUGCGUGGGGUUCUUGGGCUGGGGCUGUGCUUGGUCUUCCGUUUUUUGUAUCAUUUUUGUGUUCCUUCGGCCUCUCUGCUGGUGUGCGCGUUGUGGCUCCUAUAUGUUCCUUAUUCAUGGUCCUUUUCUUGUCGUAGAUUGGAAUGGUGUAUACGCCCGAGUUAUUCUUGUCGUCUGGGUGGUCUUUGUC
rnacentral:lncRNA from 1 species